rnacentral:rRNA from 1 species
UCCGGAAUCAUUGGGCGUAAAGCGCGUGUAGGCGGUCCGUUAAGUCCGCUGUGAAAGUCGGGGGCUCAACCCUCGGAUGCCGGUGGAUACUGUCGGGCUUGAGUACGGAAGAGGCGAGUGGAAUUCCUGGUGUAGCGGUGAAAUGCGCAGAUAUCAGGAGGAACACCUAUUGCGAAGGCAGCUCGCUGGGACGUAACUGACGCUGAGACGCGAAAGCGUGGGGAGCAAACAGG